rnacentral:rRNA from 1 species
CAGUAGCCGCGGUAAUACGAAGGGGGCUAGCGUUGCUCGGAAUCACUGGGCGUAAAGGGUGCGUAGGCGGGUCUUUAAGUCAGGGGUGAAAUCCUGGAGCUCAACUCCAGAACUGCCUUUGAUACUGAAGAUCUUGAGUUCGGGAGAGGUGAGUGGAACUGCGAGUGUAGAGGUGAAAUUCGUAGAUAUUCGCAAGAACACCAGUGGCGAAGGCGGCUCACUGGCCCGAUACUGACGCUGAGGCACGAAAGCGUGGGAGCAAACAGGAUUAGAUACCCCCGUAGUCCCUGUCUCUUAUACA